UACAGAGGGUGCGAGCGUUGUCCGGAAUCACUGGGCGUAAAGGGCGCGUAGGUGGCUUGGUAAGCGUGUGGUGAAAGUCCGGGGCUCAACCCCGGAUCUGCCGUGCGAACUGCCGAGCUCGAGCGAUGUAGAGGCAGGUGGUAUUUCGGGUGUAGCGGUGGAAUGCGUAGAUAUCCGAAAGAACACCGGUGGCGAAGGCGGCCUGCUGGGCAUCCGCUGACACUGAGGCGCGACAGCGUGGGGAGCAAACAGGA
rnacentral:rRNA from 1 species